rnacentral:rRNA from 1 species
AUUGAACGCUGGCGGCAUGCCUAACACAUGCAAGUCGAACGAGUGGCGGACGGGUGAGUAACGCCUCGGAACGUACCUAGUGGUGGGGGAUAACUGCUCGAAAGGACAGCUAAUACCGCAUAGUAUCCGAUCUGCCGAGGUAGGAUUAGCUGGUUGGGGGGGUAAAGGCCCACCAAGGCGACGAUCAGUAGCGGGUCUGAGAGGAUGAUCAGCCACACUGGGACUGAGACACGGUCCAGACUCCUACGGGAGGCAGCAGUGGGGAAUUUUGGACAAUGGGCGCAAGCCUGAUCCAGCCAUGCCGCGUGUCUGAAGAAGGCCUUCGGGUUGUAAAGGACUUUUGUCAGGGAAGCGUUACCUGAAGAAUAAGCACCGGCUAACUACGUGCCAGCAGCCGCGGUAAUAC